GUAGGUGGCAAGCGUUGUCCGGAAUUAUUGGGCGUAAAGCGCGCGCAGGGCGGUCCUUUAAGUCUGAUGUGAAAGCCCACGGCUCAACCGUGGAGGGUCAUUGGAAACUGGGGGACUUGAGUACAGAAGAGGAAAGCGGAAUUCCAAGUGUAGCGGUGAAAUGCGUAGAGAUUUGGAGGAACACCAGUGGCGAAGGCGGCUUUCUGGUCUGUAACUGACGCUGAGGCGCGAAAGCGUGGGGAGCAAACAGGAUUAGAUACCCUGGUAGUCCACGCCGUAAACGAUGAGUGCUAAGUGUUCGGGGGUUUCCGCCCCUUAGUGCUGCAGCUAACGCAUUAAGCACUCCGCCUGGGGAGUACGGCCGCAAGGCUG
rnacentral:rRNA from 1 species